GACGAACGCUGGCGGCGUGCCUAAUACAUGCAAGUAGAACGCUGAAGCGAGGAGCUUGCUCUUCUUGGAUGAGUUGCGAACGGGUGAGUAACGCGUAGGUAACCUGCCUUGUAGCGGGGGAUAACUAUUGGAAACGAUAGCUAAUACCGCAUAACAAUAGGUGACACAUGUCAUUUAUUUGAAAGGGGCAAUUGCUCCACUACAAGAUGGACCUGCGUUGUAUUAGCUAGUAGGUGAGGUAACGGCUCACCUAGGCGACGAUACAUAGCCGACCUGGGAGGGUGAGCGGCCACACUGGGACUGAGACACGGCCCAGACUCCUACGGGAGGCAGCAGUAGGGAAUCUUCGGCAAUGGGGGCAAACCUGACCGAGCAACGCGGCGUGAGUGAAGAAGGUUGUCGGAUCGUAAAGCUCUGUUGUAAGUCAAGAACGAGUGUGAGAGUGGAAAGUUCACACUGUGACGGUAGCUGACCAGAAAGGGACGGCUAACUACGUG
rnacentral:rRNA from 1 species